GAUGAAGAACGUAGCGAAAUGCGAUAAGUAAUGUGAAUUGCAGAAUUCAGUGAAUCAUCGAAUCUUUGAACGCACAUUGCGCCCGCCAGCACUCUGGCGGGCAUGCCUGUUCGAGCAUCAUUUCAACCAUCAAGCCCCCAGGGGCUUGUGCUGGGGCCCUGCGGCUGCCCGCAGGCCCUGAAAACCAGUGGCGGGCUCGCUAGUCACACCGAGCGCAGUAGCACAUCUCGCUCAGGGCGUGCGGCGGGCUCCUGCCGUGAAACCCCCCACUGUAACCCCAAAGGUUGACCUCGGAUCAGGUAGGAAUACCCGCUGAACUUAAGCAUAUCAAUAAGCGGAGGA
rnacentral:misc_RNA from 1 species